GUAGGGGGCAAGCGUUGUCCGGAAUCAUUGGGCGUAAAGCGCGCGUAGGCGGCCCGAUAAGUCCGCUGUAAAAGUCAACGGCUCAACUGUUGAAAGCCGGUGGAUACUGUCGGGCUAGAGUCCGGAAGAGGCAAGUGGAAUUCCUGGUGUAGCGGUGGAAUGCGCAGAUAUCAGGAGGAACACCUAUAGCGAAGGCAGCUUGCUGGGACGGUACUGACGCUAAGGCGCGAAAGCGUGGGGAGCGAACAGGAUUAGAUACCCUGGUAGUCCACGCCGUAAACGAUGAGAACUAGGUGUGGGAGGUGUCGACUCCUCCCGUGCCGUCGCUAACGCAUUAAGUUCUCCGCCUGGGGAGUACGGCCGCAAGGCUAAA
rnacentral:rRNA from 1 species